rnacentral:rRNA from 1 species
AACGAACGCUGGCGGCAUGCCUAACACAUGCAAGUCGAACGAGACCUUCGGGUCUAGUGGCGCACGGGUGCGUAACGCGUGGGAACCUGCCCUUAGGGUCGGAAUAACUCCCCGAAAGGGGUGCUAAUACCGGAUAAUGUCUUCGGACCAAAGAUUUAUCGCCUUUGGAUGGGCCCGCGUUGAAUUAGCUAGUUGGUAGGGUAAAAGCCUACCACGGCGACGAUCCAUAACUGGUCUGAGAGGAUGAUCAGCCACACUGGGACUGAGACACGGCCCAGACUCCUACGGGAGGCAGCAGUGGGGAAUAUUGGAAAAUGGGCGAAAGCCUGAUCCAGCAAGGCCGCGUGAGUGAUGAAGGCCUUAGGGUUGUAAAGCUCUUUUACCCGGGAUGAUAAUGACAGUACCGGGAGAAUAAGCCCCGGCUAACUCCGUG